rnacentral:rRNA from 1 species
UCGAGCGAGUCUGCCUUGAAGAUCGGAGUGCUUGCACUCUGUGAAACAAGAUACAGGCUAGCGGCGGACGGGUGAGUAACACGUGGGUAACCUGCCCAAGAGAUCGGGAUAACACCUGGAAACAGAUGCUAAUACCGGAUAACAACAGAUGAUGCCUAUCAACUGUUUAAAAGAUGGUUCUGCUAUCACUCUUGGAUGGACCUGCGGUGCAUUAGCUAGUUGGUAGGGUAACGGCCUACCAAGGCGAUGAUGCAUAGCCGAGUUGAGAGACUGAUCGGCCACAUUGGGACUGAGACACGGCCCAAACUCCUACGGGAGGCAGCAGUAGGGAAUCUUCCACAAUGGACGCAAGUCUGAUGGAGCAACGCCGCGUGAGUGAAGAAGGGUUUCGGCUCGUAAAGCUCUGUUGUUGGUGAAGAAGGACAGGGGUAGUAACUGACCUUUGUUUGACGGUAAUCAAUUAGAAAGUCACGGCUAACUACGUGCCAGCAGCCGCGGUAAUACGUAGGUGGCAAGCGUUGUCCGGAUUUAUUGGGCGUAAAGCGAGUGCAGGCGGUUCGAUAAGUCUGAUGUGAAAGCCUUCGGCUCAACCGGAGAAUUGCAUCAGAAACUGUCGAGCUUGAGUACAGAAGAGGAGAGUGGAACUCCAUGUGUAGCGGUGAAAUGCGUAGAUAUAUGGAAGAACACCGGUGGCGAAGGCGGCUCUCUGGUCUGUUACUGACGCUGAGGCUCGAAAGCAUGGGUAGCGAACAGGAUUAGAUACCCUGGUAGUCCAUGCCGUAAA